rnacentral:rRNA from 1 species
AGAACGAACGCUGGCGGCAUGCCUAAUACAUGCAAGUCGAACGAACUCUUCGGAGUUAGUGGCGCACGGGUGCGUAACGCGUGGGAAUCUGCCCCUUGGUUCGGAAUAACAGUUGGAAACGACUGCUAAUACCGGAUGAUGACGAAAGUCCAAAGAUUUAUCGCCAAGGGAUGAGCCCGCGUAGGAUUAGCUAGUUGGUGAGGUAAAGGCUACGACCAAGGCAACGAUCCUUAGCUGGUCUGAGAGGAUGAUCAGCCACACGUGGGACUGGAGACACGGCCCAGACCUCCGUACGGGAGCAGCAGGUAGGGAAUAGUGGACAAGUGGGACGAAAGCCUAGACUCCAGCAAUGCCGACGUGAGUGAGUGGAAGGUCCGUUAGGUUAGUAAAGCGUUACGUUUACCGAGUA